AGGAUCAUUGUGGUAUUGUUCCGUGUUCCGUGUGCACCCUCUGUAGGUCUCUGACCUACGUAUUCGAAUCACCCCCCUAUGCAUGUCUAAUGGGAAUACACACAUAUAUACAACUUUCAGCAACGGAUCUCUUGGCUCUCGCAUCGAUGACGAACGCAGCGAAUCGCGAUAAGUAAUGUGAAUUGCAGAUUUUCAGUGAAUCAUCGAGUCUUUGAACGCACCUUGCGCUCCUUGGUAUUCCGAGGAGCAUGCCUGUUUGAGCGUCGUGCAACCCUCAACCGAGCCGUGGCUCGGCUUGGAUCCGGUGGAAGCUGCCGGCGCGAGUCGGCUCUUCUGAAAUGCAUACCGGCCUGGCGGCGUGAUAGCGAUCGCCGUGCGGGCGUGACUCCCCUUGACCUCAAAUCAGGCAGGACUACCCGCCGAACUUAAGCAUAUCAAUAAGCGGAGGAAAAGAAACUAACAAGGAUUCCCCUAGUAACUGCGAGUGAAGUGGGAAGAGCUCAAAUUUCGAAUCUGGCGGUCCCCAGGGGCCGUCCGAGUUGUAAUCUAGAGAAGCGCAUUCCAGCGCCGGCUCGUGUACAAGUCUCCUGGAACGGAGCAUCAUGGAGGGUGAGAAUCCCGUCCCUGACACGGACGCCGGGGCAUUGCGAUGUGCUCUCGACGAGUCGGGUUGUUUGGGAAUGCAGCCCAAAAGGGGUGGUAGACUCCAUCCAAAGCUAAAUACGGGCGAGAGACCGAUAGCGAACAAGUACCGUGAGGGAAAGAUGAAAAGAACUUUGGAAAGAGAGUGAAAGAGUACGUGAAAUUGCUGAAAGGGAAACGCUCGACGUCAGUCGCGUCGUCCGGGGAUCAGCCUCGUGGGAUAUCGCGGGGCGCACUUCCCGGGCGACGGGUCAGCGUCAGUCUCGGCUGCGGCGUACAAGGGCGGAGGGAAGGUGGCACCCCCCGGGGUGUGUUAUAGCCUUCGGUCGGAUGCGUCGCCCGGGACUGAGGUACUCGGCACGGCCCCUCGGGAGGC
rnacentral:rRNA from 1 species